GACGGGGAGCACACAACAGGUGGAGCCUGCGGUUUAAUCGGACUCAACGCCGGGAAACUCACCAGAUAAGACAGCUGAAUGAUAGUCGGGCUGAAGACUCUACUUGACUAGCUGAGAGGAGGUGCAUGGCCGUCGUCAGUUCGUACUGUGAAGCAUCCUGUUAAGUCAGGCAACGAGCGAGACCCACGCCAACAGUUGCCAGCUCGUCCUCCGGGAUGGUGGGGGCACUGUUGGGACCGCCUCUGCUAAAGAGGAGGAAGGAAUGGGCAACGGUAGGUCAGCAUGCCCCGAAUUAUCUGGGCUACACGCGGGCUACAAUGGGUGGGACAAUGGGUAUCGACACCGAAAGGUGAAGGCAAUCUCCUAAACCCAUCCGUAGUUCGGAUUGUGGGCUGCAACUCGCCCACAUGAAGCUGGAAUCCGUAGUAAUCGCGUUUCAAAAUAGCGCGGUGAAUAUGUCCCUGCUCCUU
rnacentral:rRNA from 1 species